GCUGGAGCUAUCAGAAGUGCGAAUGCUGACAUGAGUAACGAUAAGGGGGGUGAAAAACCUCCCCGCCGAAAGAUCAAGGUUUCCUGUCCAACGUUAAUCGGGACAGGGUGAGUCGGCCCCUAAGGCGAGGGCGAAAGCCGUAGUCGAUGGAAAAUCGGUUAAAAUUCCGAUACCGAUUCUUACUGCGAUGGAGGGACGGAGAAGGCUAGGCUAGCACGGCGUUGGUUGUCCGUGUUUAAGCGUGUAGGUAGGGGGAUUAGGUAAAUCCGGUUCCUCGUUAAUCUGAGACGUGAUGACGAUCUCUUGGGGCGACCCUUGAGAGAAGUAGUCGAUGCCAUACUUCCAGGAAAAUCUUCUAAGCUUCAGGCUAUUCGAGACCGUACCCCAAACCGACACAGGUGGUCAGGUAGAGAAUACCAAGGCGCUUGAGAGAACUCGGGUAAAGGAACUAGGCAAAAUGGUGCCGUAACUUCGGGAGAAGGCACGCCGGUGGUAUGUGACGCCCUUCGCGGGUUGAGCAGAAGCCGGUCGAAGAUACCAGGCCCCUGCGACUGUUUAUUAAAAACACAGCACUGUGCAAACACGAAAGUGGACGUAUACGGUGUGACGCCUGCCCGGUGCCGGAAGGUUAAUUGAUGGGGUUAGCGCUUGCGCGAAGCUCUUGAUCGAAGCCCCGGUAAACGGCGGCCGUAACGAUAACGGUCCUAAGGUAGCGAAGUUCCUUGUCGGGUAAGUUCCGACCUGCAUGAAUGGUGUAAUGACUUCCCCACUGUCUCCAACAAAGACUCAGUGAAAUUGAACUACCCGUGAAGAUGCGGGUUAUUUGCAGCUAGACGGAAAGACCCCGUGCACUUUUACUAUAAGCAUAUAGUGUAAAGUUUUUAUUUUUGUGUAGAAUAGGUGGGAGCUAUUUGAAGUCGUUACGCAAGUAACUUACUUAAGCUUUUAUGAAAUACCACCCUUUUUUAAAAACUUUACUAACUUUAAAGGACAUUUUAUGCUGGGUAGUUUAGCUGGGGCGGCUGCCUCCUAAAAAGUAACGGAGGCGUGCAAAGGCAAACUCAAACAAUAUUUAUUGUUUUAGAGCGUAAUGGUAUAUGUUUGCUUGACUGUAAGAUUGAUAAAUCAAGCAGAGAUGAAAGUCGGCCAUAGUGAUCCGGUGGUUCUUCGUGGAAAGACCAUCGCUCAACAAAUAAAAAGUACGCCGGGGAUAACAGGCUGAUGCCUCUCUAGAGCUCUUAUCGACAGGGGCGUUUGGCACCUCGAUGUCGGCUCAUCUCAUCCUGGGGCUGGAGCAGGUCCCAAGGGUACGGC
rnacentral:rRNA from 13 species